rnacentral:lncRNA from 1 species
GUCGCCAUCGUUGAGCACUCGAUUAACGCGAGGGCGCUUUGUCGGCAGCACUUGGCCGUCCCGCGUGCACGCGCGCCCUGUGUCGCUCACAAAAGCGUCGACCAGCGCGUUAAUGUCGUCGCCAUAGUUGUCGUCGUCGUCGUCAUCGGACGAGUCGGACGUGCAAGAUUGUGAGACGUGGAGAGAAUCGCUUUUCGGCCUGCUGGUGGGCAUCGAUCCCAUCGACGCCGGCUGAGUCAUCGUGCCGUGCUUCGGAGCGUCGACACCCUUUGUGUCAGUCGCCUGUUGUUGGGAAACAUACUUCUUCGCGUCGAGCCGUGUCCUAGCCGAGGGCGUAUUAAAGGCUUGGUCGGCACUCUGUUGAUCUGGCGACGCAUUGUCAUAAUCCACUGUGUCGCGGGACAAGGGCGCUCGUCCCUUGCGCCGCACAGCCGACACCGCCUGGCCGGCCCCUGCAAUUGGCGUGCCACGCGGCUUGCGUGAUGUUGCAGGUCCGGUGCAGCCGCCGUCAGCCAUCUCCGCGGCGCAGGCCGCUGAUAGAUGGCGCGCAAAGAUGUGCGCAUCGUCAUGCAACGCCAUUUCCAGACGCGCUCGACGCCAUAUGCGCAUGAGCAUGGCGCGCAGUCCAGCACGGCCUGGUCCGCCGAACCACGCCUUGAUUUGCUUCGACGACCAGUCGAGCCACUCAGCGUUUGGACUCGCCGCGCCAACGAGCGGCACCAGGCCGCGACAGGCCGACGGCACCAUUUUCACGGCCACCGCAGCGUCGUCGUGAGCCGUGCCCGGCGCGCCGGGCGCCAAGAGCACCUUGCGCACGAGGCGCAUGACCAACACCUCACGCAUGUUGGCGUAGAUGGUCGCGCGCGGCAGUCCCACGGCCUUGGUGCACACCUCAUCAAAGGUAGUGUAGCGCCACGCACGCUGUCCGGCCCAAUCGUCGCGCGGACACGCCGCCCACGGUGCCCCGACAAAGUAGCCGUGCAUGCGGUGCAGACACUUGUACAUGGCCACGCGCUCGCCGGUCACGCGCCUUUGGUGUUUCAGCGUCUUAUCGAGCACAUCGUCCAUCUCAUGACGCCCUCUAGGUUGCUCUGGCAACACCGCCACCGGCGACGACAUUGUCCAACACGCGAUCCGGUCGUCGCAGAUCGCCCCUCUUCUUGUCUUGCGCGCCCUCGGUGGGCGGUGGUCGGUAGUCGGCGAGCACGGGUGUCGGUGGGAGGAAAAUGGUACAGAAAGUCGGGCGCUUACCCACCGUUGCCCAUUUCCGCCGCGCAGGACCAGCGCGCGCCAUUGCCAGGACCGAGCGAUGCGCACGCGUUUGCCCCCGUCUGCGUCGCGAGCCCCCGGGCCUGUGCGCGGUUCAUCAUGCCACCGCAAGCGCCACAGGAUAAAAAUGCCCUAUCACAUCCCGAUUCCACUCGAAGCCGUGUGUCCUGCCUCGGCUCCAUUUUCCCCCCUUGGUGUGCAGGUGGUGACGGCUCGUCGCUGCGAUCAAGGCGCCCACGCACUCAGAGGGACGAAAAGUAUUAUUAUUAAAAAAAAUGCAAAAAGAAAACCCCAUCAAGAAAAAACUUUUUGUGGCCGCUUUUACAGCGCGCUCGGCUGGCUGCCAACUUUUUCCUUGUCAUGUCUUGAUGCCGACA